UGCGAGAAGGAUGUUCCGAGAAUCUCGUACGCCGGUGAGGUUUCCCGUGAUCUGGCCGAGGUUUUCUGGAUACAUUCAACGCGGAA
rnacentral:pre_miRNA from 1 species